UAUUCCACCAUGGUAGCUCUCUCUACCUCUACUUUCUUCCAUUAAUCAACAUAAUUUCUAAUUUUCUCACUUAGAAGACAAUGGAUGAGUGAGGGAAGGGAUUUUCAUGGCUGACCAUCAAUAGCUACCUCAACAUUUAUAAGAGCUCCUAACUUGCUUCUCAUCUUAUGCAAUAGUUCAUGAAAUGUUUCUAAGCCAUAAUUUGAGUUAGUGUUUGAGAAAGAAGGGAGUUGAAGUAUGGAGGGAAGGUGUUUUUAUUGAAAAAUUUGCUUAGAUUGAGGGUUAUCAUUAGGUGUGGUGAUCACUGGAGAAUUUAUAUAGACCUUAAUUGACUCUAGAUACCCUUCUUGCG
rnacentral:misc_RNA from 1 species